AGAGGCCGAGUCGUGUGGCAAGCCUCGUGGAGAAGUCUGCAGGCUUCUUGCUCCUAAGAAGGAAGCUCAGUGUUAAAUCUGAAGCUAAACUGAAGAAACUAUGUGGUCUCUUACGACUGGUUGCCACAACAGAUGUUGCCAGGUGUCCUUGGAUAGUGACCUCCCAUAUGAAGCCACUUUCCUCUGAUCAGGCCUGACAGCUUCACACUGUGGAGGGAGCUGAGAACAAUAAUCUUUCAAGGAACAGAAAACCAGACGCCACAUGUUCUCACUUAUAAGUGGGAGCUAAACAAUGAGAACACAUGGACACAGGGGGGGGAACAACACACACUAGGGCCUGUUGGGGGUGUGGGGUCAGGGGAGGGAGAGCAUUGGGAAAACUAGCUAACACAUACUGAGAUUAAUACCUAGGUGAUGGGUUGAUUGGUGCAGCAAACCACCAUGGCACAUGUUUACCUAUGUAACAAACCUUCACAUCCUGCACAUGUACCCCAGAACCUAAAAGUAAAAUUAAAAUAAAAAAAA
rnacentral:lncRNA from 10 species